AAAAGAUGGUUCUGCUAUCACUCUUGGAUGGACCUGCGGUGCAUUAGCUAGUUGGUAAGGUAACGGCUUACCAAGGCAAUGAUGCAUAGCCGAGUUGAGAGACUGAUCGGCCACAUUGGGACUGAGACACGGCCCAAACUCCUACGGGAGGCAGCAGUAGGGAAUCUUCCACAAUGGACGCAAGUCUGAUGGAGCAACGCCGCGUGAGUGAAGAAGGGUUUCGGCUCGUAAAGCUCUGUUGGUAGUGAAGAAAGAUAGAGGUAGUAACUGGCCUUUAUUUGACGGUAAUUACCUAGAAAGUCACGGCUAACUACGUGCCAGCAGCCGCGGUAAUACGUAGGUGGCAAGCGUUGUCCGGAUUUAUUGGGCGUAAAGCGAGUGCAGGCGGUUCAAUAAGUCUGAUGUGAAAGCCUUCGGCUCAACCGGAGAAUUGCAUCAGAAACUGUUGAACUUGAGUGCAGAAGAGGAGAGUGGAACUCCAUGUGUAGCGGUGGAAUGCGUAGAUAUAUGGAAGAACACCAGUGGCGAAGGCGGCUCUCUGGUCUGCAACUGACGCUGAGGCUCGAAAGCAUGGGUAGCGAACAGGAUUAGAUACCCUGGUAGUCCAUGCCGUAAACGAUGAGUGCUAAGUGUUGGGAGGUUUCCGCCUCUCAGUGCUGC
rnacentral:rRNA from 1 species